GGUGAAAAUAUUUUUGCUUACAAUAAAAAGAGCCUCAGGGCACCUUUAUAUUGCUAUAAAAAUAAAUAA
rnacentral:tRNA from 1 species